rnacentral:tRNA from 1 species
GGGGGGAUCGCAUAGUUGGUCUAGUGCGGCCGCCUGCUAAGCGGUUACUCGGGUAAAACCGGGUCGAGGGUUCGAAUCCCUCUCCUCCCG